rnacentral:rRNA from 1 species
UACGAAGGGGGCUAGCGUUGUUCGGAUUUACUGGGCGUAAAGCGCACGUAGGCGGAUCGAUCAGUCAGGGGUGAAAUCCCAGGGCUCAACCCUGGAACUGCCUUUGAUACUGUCGAUCUGGAGUAUGGAAGAGGUGGAGUGGAAUUCCGAGUGUAGAGGUGAAAUUCGUAGAUAUUCGGAGGAACACCAGUGGCGAAGGCGGCUCACUGGUC